rnacentral:rRNA from 1 species
UACGUAGGGGGCUAGCGUUGUCCGGAUUUAUUGGGCGUAAAGAGCGUGUAGGCGGCCAAGUAGGUCCGGUGUGAAAACUCGAGGCUUAACCUCGAGAUGUCAUCGGAAACCAUUUGGCUAGAGGACGGGAGAGGAGCGCGGAAUUCCCGGUGUAGCGGUGAAAUGCGUAGAGAUCGGGAGGAAGGCCGGUGGCGAAGGCGGCGCUCUGGAACGUAUCUGACGCUGAGACACGAAAGCGUGGGGAGCAAGCAGG